UACGUAGGCAGCAAGCGUUGUUCGGAAUUACUGGGCGUAAAGAGUGCGUAGGCGGUUAACUAAGUUUGGUGUGAAAUCUCCCGGCUUAACUGGGAGGGUGCGCCGAAAACUGGCUAGCUAGAGUGUGGGAGAGGAUAGUGGAAUUCCUGGUGUAGCGGUGAAAUGCGUAGAGAUCUGGAGGAACACCGAUGGCGAAGGCAGCCUUCUGGGCCAACACUGACGCUCAUGCACGAAAGCGUGGGGAGCAAACAGG
rnacentral:rRNA from 1 species